CGGUGCAAUCGCAACUUGUGCGUCACUACGCCGCCAGCUGAUCGGAGACUGGAGCCGGUGUGUGCUGGGCGCUGGGAAGAGAGCGCCGCCGGCUGUGGGGCACGGACGCACUGAUUUGCUCCCCUGUCCUCAGCACCCCCCGCACACACCCGGCACCAGGAGCCUGUACCUCCCACACCCUCACCUGGCUGAGCCGCAGUAGUUCUUCAGUGGCAAGCUUUAUGUCCUGACCCAGCUAAAGCUGCCAGUUGAAGAACUGUUGCCCUCUGCCGCUGGCUUCAAGGAGGAGAAGGAGCUGCUUUCCCGCUCAUCUGGAAGGUGACAGAACUGGGGCUGGGAAGGUCUGCAGGAGUGAUGAUGGAUGGUGUGUGAAACUCAACUCAGGCCUGUGCAGGCAGAAAAAUUCUCCCCUCCAGCAGCCAGCAGAGCUGAGUUCUGGGACUCAACCCCCCUUGGGGGCAUCAGGCAGUGUAAACCUGCCAUCCCCACAUCCUGAUCCAGUCUCACUCUUUGGCUCAGGCUCUGGUGUGGUUCAGCCUUGGCCUAGAAUCCCUGCCUGAAGGUGGCUGCCUUCAGGGGCUGCAGGAAGCUGUUUGUUCUAUUUGGGGGGAAGAGGAGCCGGGUCCUAUUACCCAUUUAUGAGAAACUCAAAGAUUUAGGGGAGAGUAGACCAUUGAACCCAGCUCUUCCACAGCUUAAGCCGAUGUGUGUGGGACUGUGUUAGAAGGGGGUGGGUAGACUGAGUCCACUCAACAAAGAUCACUCUGUCCCUGGACAUUGCUUCCGUCCUUUCUUCCCCUCCUCGCUUCACUGGCCACAGUGUUUCCUUCCAGCCUGGGUGUGUGGCUCUGCCAUCCUCACCUAUCAUGGAGCAGAGAUGAGGAGGAGCAUCCUGGGAACACAGAGGCAGGCGGAAGACCAGUGAAGGACAAAGCCUGGAGAGCACAGGACCUGUCUGGGCACCUUGCAGAGGGGGGGCAUAAAGGCCAGGAGCACCCCAGGAAGAGGGAGGACAGCCAGCCUCCAGCAAGGACAAGCUUCCAGGCAUCUUCAAUCUCUCCACCUUCUUCGGAGAUGUGGGACCAUAUUAAAGUGUCCUGUGGCUUCAUCCUCCUCCUUCCACCUCUCUCCCACCUUGUAAUUUACAUAUAAGCAGCUUCAAGGAACAAGAGCCAGCUGUGAAAGGACAUACACAGGAAAUUCAUAAAAGAAAUGCAAAUGGAUAAAACCAUGACAACAAAUGUGUACUUCAUUAGUAAUUAAAGAGAGGCAAAUACAGCUGUAA